UGCUAAUUGAGAAUAUGUAUUAUGUUCCAAUAACAUUUUAAGAAUAUUUCUACUAAUGCUUGGUAAUUUUUUUUCCACAUUUGCAUAAGUUUGAUAUAAGUUCAUCUCCUGACAUAGCAUUUUUAGAGCAGAAUUAAUUCCUCAGUAUACAACUACCUUAGUUCAAAUUCAUAUCAACUAAGACUUAAACACAAAUUUGGUUAGACAGCCCAAUGCUUUUUUAAUUUGUUUGAUAAUAUUCCUCAGAUCAAGUUGCAGAGAUCUAAAUGAUGCAUAAAUCAAGAAAAAAAAACAGUAUUCAUAUUGAUGGAACCAUCAUCUAAUAGAUACAAGCAAAAUAUAAAAACUAAAACAAGGAAGUGUUGUUAUAAAUGUUGGAGAUCAACAGUACAUCACAUUGCUCUAGAAAUAGAGUAUCAUAAAGACUUCUGAAGCCAUCUCCUAUGAGCAACAGGUAGAGCUUGAAAGGUACAUAUAAAGAGCUGUACAGCAAGAUGUCUUAUAGUUGCUUAGUUGAAGUUAUAUUGUAAAGAGACUUAAAAUACUUUGAUUUAGCUUAUUUAAAAUUAAAUUAUUUGCUUCUUUUGAUAUAUAUGCAUAAUAUGGAAUAGACCAGCUAUGAAACUAAAGGUAAACCAGCGAAGCAUGUAAUCUAAUUAUUUUUGCUUUCUUCAAGUUUUAUGCAUGCCAAUUAAUGUGUUUCCAGUGUUCAAGUGAAUUAAAAUAACUAUUUCAAUGAUUAGUUUUGUAUGUUGGUAAAAAAAAACUUUGAUAAAACUCCCAUAAAUUAACAGAGCAUAUACAGAACAAUUUCAAUAAUAAUACUAAAUACUAGCUUUGUACAAAAUACAAUGAUAUAGAAAGAUAAUAUUAAAUAUCUAGACUAGAUAUUUUUUAUAGUAAUUACAGUAUUUUUUAAUAGCUAUACAUUUUUAAGUAAACUAUUUGUUUUGUUUUUUUUAUUUCAAAUGCUGAGCAUACAUAACUAAACUGGAAGAACAGAUGAAGUCCAAAACGCUAAAGUAACAGACAACCCAGAUCAAGAUAAAGUUCCUCCUGUUGAUUUACAGACCAAGAUGAAGAACAUCCUGCUGAUUCACAGACCAAAAUAAAGUUCCUCCUGAUGAUUUACAGACACUUGUAUGGGCUGCUACUUGUGAUUAAGAACUGACUUCAAAUGAUAGCAAGAGGAUGAUUUAAGCAUACAUAACUAAACUGGAAGAACAGAUGAAGUCCAAAACGCUAAAGCAACAGACAACCCAGAUCAAGAUAAAGUUCCUCCUGCUGAUUUACAGACCAAGAUGAAGAACAUCCUGCUGAUUCACAGACCAAAAUAAAGUUCCUCCUGAUGAUUUACAGACACUUGUAUGGGCUGCUACUUGUGAUUAAGAACUGACUUCAAAUGAUAGCAAGAGGAUGAUUUAAGCAUACAUAACUAAACUGGAAGAACAGAUGUAGUCCAAACUGCUAAAUGAACAGACAACCCAGAGAUCAAGAUAAAGUAGGCUAAAUCCUGCUGGUCAGACCAAGAUAAAGAACAUCCUGAUGAUUCAUAGACCAAAAUAAAGUUCCUCCUGAUGAUUUACAGACACUUGUAUGGGCUGCUACUUGUGAUUAAGAACUGACUUCAAAUGAUAGCAAGAGGAUGAUUUAAGCAUACAUAACUAAACUGGAAGAACAGAUGAAGUCCAAACUGCUAAAUGAACAGACAACCCAGAUUCAGAUACAAAUUGUUGCUGUUCCAGAAGUAGUGCAUUUGCCAACAUAGUAAAGUCAUUGGAGUCAUUAACUUAUGAGUGAUGUUCAUAAAGUUUGUACUCAAAUGUUUGGCAAGUUCACAAUGCUAGCAACACUUGCUCAGUAAUGUUACCUACUAUCAGAUGUUGGGGAAAAAACUUUUCAUUUGUGGUAGUCUCAAGAAAAUAUCCAAAUGUUUUGGUCAGUGUAUUCUGAGUGAAACAACUGAAGGUCGUUCAGCACUAUAGAAAUGUGUACAUGUCUACUGGCCUCGCUAUGAAGAUAGAGAGUAAGCUACAUCCUAUUGCUCUAGAAAAAGAACAGUCUACAGAUGAUUGGAACUAGCUCCUUUGGGCUUGAAAACUUCAUAUAUAAAAAAAUAUGCAGCAAGUCAGUCUCUCAAGUUAUUUGAAUAGAUCAAGUAGUGGAGCAUAGAGAUGGAGUAACAGGCAAGAAGUAGAGAUAUCAAAAACUGUGCAAUCAAGUUGCAGACCCAAUCGAUCUUAGCAUACAGUUGAAUGGAACAAUUAUCUACUUAGAACAGUCAAACUAUAGAAGCUACAUGUCCACAAGUUGUUUUUUUUUUUUCCUUUAAGG